AAAUUUUAGAUUAUCUUGCAGGUUGGUGUAAAAUGUAGCGGGCGUCUCUUCAGGUGAGUUGAUAUUGUGUAUUUCUCUUUAUUUUUCAACACUAAUCACUAUGGAAUAAGCUCUGUUCACAACGGGUAAGGGUUCCAUGAUCAAUAUUUGGUUUCUGACAUGGUCGUAUGAGUCAUUAAGAUCCAUUAUAAAUUGGAUCAGGUUGUCGAUAUUGUCUAUUCCAUUGUGUUGUUUUGCAGCAUGGCAAGUGCAAGCAGGUAAGGGCUUUAGGUGAGUUAAACUCAUCCCAUAGCCAUUUGAGUUUUGUACAAUAGGCUAUGAUAGAAAGGUUAGACUGCUUGAUGGAACUUAUUUCACAUUUUAAUUGAUACAACAAAAACCCGUUACUUUCACUAUACCUUUCUUUUAUUUCAUCCCACAUGUUUUUUGUUGAUGUGGUGAACAGGAAGGCGCUAGCAAGUUCUUUGUUCAUCGAGUUUAGGAUCCAGGACACC
rnacentral:lncRNA from 1 species